rnacentral:rRNA from 1 species
ACAGAGGUGGCAAGCGUUGUUCGGAAUUACUGGGCGUAAAGGGCGCGUAGGCGGCCCGUUAAGUCCCGUGUGAAAGCCCCCGGCUCAACCGGGGAACGGCGCGGGAAACUGGCAGGCUUGAGUUCGGGAGAGGGAAGCGGAAUUUCGGGUGUAGCGGUGAAAUGCGCAGAUAUCCGAAGGAACACCGGUGGCGAAGGCGGCUUCCUGGACCGACACUGACGCUGAGGCGCGAAAGCUAGGGGAGCAAACGGGAUUAGAUACCCCGGUAGUCCUAGCCCUAAACGAUGAACACUGGGUGUAGAGGGUAUGAACCCCUUCUGUGCCGAAGCUAACGCAUUAAGUGUUCCGCCUGGGGAGUACGGUCGCAAGGCUG